AACGAACGCUGGCGGCAGGCCUAACACAUGCAAGUCGAGCGCCCGGAUUUAUCCGGGAGCGGCGCACGGGUGAGUAACGCGUGGGAACAUGCCCUGAAGUACGGAACAACCUGGGGAAACCUUGGCUAAUACCGUAUACGCCCUGAGGGGGAAAGAUUUAUCGCUUUGGGAUUGGGCCGCGUUGGAUUAGCUGGUUGGUGUGGUAACGGCGCACCAAGGCGACGAUCCAUAACUGGUCUGAGAGGAUGACCAGUCACACUGGGACUGAGACACGGCCAAGACUCCUACGGGAGGCAGCAGUGGGGAAUAUUGGACAAUGGGCGAAAGCCUGAUCCAGCCAUGCCGCGUGAGUGAAGAAGGCCUUCGGGUUGUAAAGCUCUUUCAGCGGGGACGAUGAUGACGGUACCCGCAGAAGAAGCCCCGGCUAACUUCGUGCCAGCAGCCGCCAGUAAAAC
rnacentral:rRNA from 1 species